rnacentral:rRNA from 1 species
UACGUAGGGGGCAAGCGUUGUCCGGAAUUAUUGGGCGUAAAGGGCUCGUAGGCGGCUCAGUAAGUCGGCUGUGAAAUACCGGGGCUCAACCCCGGAACUGCAGUCGAUACUGCUGUGGCUAGAGUCUGGUAGAGGAGAAUGGAAUUCUCGGUGUAGCGGUGGAAUGCGCAGAUAUCGAGAGGAACACCAGUAGCGAAGGCGGUUCUCUGGGCCAGUACUGACGCUGAGGAGCGAAAGCGUGGGUAGCAAA